UACGUAGGGGGCAAGCGUUAUCCGGAUUCACUGGGUGUAAAGGGAGCGUAGACGGCGACGCAAGUCUGGAGUGAAAGCCCGGGGCCCAACCCCGGGACUGCUCUGGAAACUGCGUCGCUGGAGUACGGGAGGGGCAGGCGGAAUUCCUGGUGUAGCGGUGAAAUGCGUAGAUAUAUGGAGGAACACCGGUGGCGAAAGCGGCUCUCUGGCCUGUAACUGACACUGAGGCUCGAAAGCGUGGGGAGCAAACAGG
rnacentral:rRNA from 1 species